GAAAAAUAUCUCUGGAUGGUUGUACUCCUCUUGACUGUCACCGGUUGUUGGAAGGGACUACAUUUCUAGUCCUUGUUACUUCUCUGUGUGAUUUCUUUGGCCCACAGUGCCAGAGGCAGAUGUGUGACAGAUUGCAGCAGAAGGGUACUCUGACAAAACAAUGUCUGACAUGGAAAUUUAUACGAAACAGAGGUGCGACACUGAAUUACUCCAUGUGGGAUAAAAACAGCACCCACUGGCAUUCACUGAUGCUUGCUGAAAAUUUGUGGAGACCAAACCAUGGACAACAGCAGAGGAGGCUGCGGGUGAUGCUUUUCAACAGUGGUGAUUGCACCUCUGCAUUUUUAUUUAUUUAUUUAUUUUAUGAGCACACUAUGUACACUCUUGUUCAUUUCUAUUGAAAAUGCAUAGUGUAGCUGAGAAUUUGCUCCAUCAAACAGUAUUACUGUACUCUUUUUAUCUGCUCAAGUUUCCAUGAAUAUAAAAAGGAGGCAUUACUUUUGGAAUGACCUACGUACAUUCUCACUUUUUCUUUAUUAUUGUAUGUGUCGGAAGCAAGAUAAGUUCUAAUUUUAUGUCUUUAUGUGAUAAAUUUCAGAUUUAUGAAGACAGGCUAAUUGUAUUUGCUUGUAAUAUUCACUGAAGUAACACUAAAGUAAGACUUCAAUAG
ensembl:lncRNA